rnacentral:rRNA from 1 species
UCCUACGGAGGCAGCAGUAGGGAAUCUUCCGCAAUGGGCGAAAGCCUGACGGAGCAACGCCGCGUGAGUGAUGAAGGUCUUCGGAUCGUAAAACUCUGUUAUUAGGGAAGAACAAAUGUGUAAGUAACUGUGCACGUCUUGACGGUACCUAAUCAGAAAGUCACGGCUAACUACGUGCCAGCAGCCGCGGUAG